rnacentral:rRNA from 1 species
GAGCGCCCCGCAAGGGGAGCGGCAUACGGGUAUCGUAACACGUGGGAACGUACCCUUCGGUUCGGAACAACCCAGGGAAACUUGGGCUAAUACCGGAUACGUCCGUAAGGAGAAAGAUUCAUCGCCGAGGGAUCGGCCCGCGUCUGAUUAGCUUGUUGGUGAGGUAACGGCUCACCAAGGCGACGAUCAGUAGCUGGUCUGAGAGGAUGAUCAGCCUCACUGGGACUGAGACACGGCCCAGACUCCUACGGGAGGCAGCAGUGGGGAAUAUUGGACAAUGGGCGCAAGCCUGAUCCAGCCAUGCCGCGUGGGUGAUGAAGGCCCUAGGGUUGUAAAGCCCUUUCGGCGGGGAAGAUAAUGACGGUACCCGCAGAAGAAGCCCCGGCUAACUUCGUG